CUUCACCGACCCCAACCACAACGGCCGAUCCCCCUCACGCUCCCGCCCGUACGUGGCCAGCAGCGCCUGCGCCUC
rfam:Streptomyces sp. MTSC 1 5, whole genome shotgun sequence.